UACGUAGGGUGCAAGCGUUGUCCGGAAUUAUUGGGCGUAAAGGGCUCGUAGGCGGUCCAUCACGUCGGGAGUGAAAAGCUGGGGCUUAACCCUGAGCCUGCUUCCGAUACGGGCAGACUAGAGGUAUGCAGGGGAGAACGGAAUUCCUGGUGUAGCGGUGAAAUGCGCAGAUAUCAGGAGGAACACCGGUGGCGAAGGCGGUUCUCUGGGCAUUACCUGACGCUGAGGAGCGAAAGUGUGGGGAGCGAACAGG
rnacentral:rRNA from 1 species